UUUAAUUCGAUGAUACGCGAGGAACCUUACCCGGGCUUGAAUUGCAGACGUAGGAUACAGAGAUGUUGACUCCCUUCGGGGUGUCUGUGAAGGUGCUGCAUGGUUGUCGUCAGCUAGUGCCGUGAGGUGUCGGCUUAAGUGCCAUAACGAGCGCAGCCCCUUUCCUUAGUUGCCAUCAGGUCAUGCUGGGCACUCUGGGGACACUGCCACCGCAAGGUGUGAGGAAGGUGGGGAUGACGUCAAAUCAGCACGGCCCUUACGUCCGGGGCUACACACGUGUUACAAUGGCCGGUACAGAGGGACGGUGUAAUGCAAGUUGCAUCCAAUCUUGAAAGCCGGUCCCAGUUCGGACUGAGGUCUGCAACCCGACCUCACGAAGCUGGAUUCGCUAGUAAUCGCGCAUCAGCCAUGGCGCGGUGAAUACGUUCCCGGGCCUUGUACACACCGCCCGUCAAGCCAUGAAAGCCGGGGGUGCCUGAAGUUCGUAACCGCGAGGAGCGACCUAGGGCAAAACUGGUGAUUGGGGCUAAGUCGUAACAAGGUAGCCGUAAUA
rnacentral:rRNA from 1 species